GAUGAACGCUAGCGGCAGGCUUAACACAUGCAAGUCGAGGGGCAACACGGGUAGCAAUACCUGGUGGCGACCGGCGCAAGGGUGCGUAACGCGUGAGCAACAUGCCCUAUACAGGGGGAUAAUCCAGGGAAACUUGGUCUAAUAUCCCAUAGUAUUUAGAGGUGGCAUCACCACUAAAUUAAAGCUUCGGUGGUAUAGGAUUGGCUCGCGUGACAUUAGCUGGAUGGUGGGGUAACGGCUCACCAUGGCGAUGAUGUCUAGGGGUUCUGAGAGGAAGACCCCCCACACUGGGACUGAGACACGGCCCAGACUCCUACGGGAGGCAGCAGUGAGGAAUAUUGGACAAUGGGCGCAAGCCUGAUCCAGCCAUGCCGCGUGAGUGAAGAAGGCCCUCGGGUUGUAAAGCUCUUUUGUCCGGAAAGAAAAGCGCCGGGUUAAUACCCUAGUGUCCUGACGGUACCGGAAGAAUAAGCACCGGCUAACUUCGUGCCAGCAGCCGAC
rnacentral:rRNA from 1 species